GACGAACGCUGGCUGCGUGCUUAACACAUGCAAGUCGAACGCUGAAGCCCUGGUGCUUGCACCGGGGUGGAUGAGUGGCGAACGGGUGAGUAACACGUGAGUAACCUGCCCCCGACUUCGGGAUAAGCCCGGGAAACUGGGUCUAAUACCGGAUAUGACAACCGAAGGCAUCUUUGGUUGUGGAAAGUUUUUUCGGUUGGGGAUGGGCUCGCGGCCUAUCAGUUUGUUGGUGAGGUAAUGGCUCACCAAGACGACGACGGGUAGCCGGCCUGAGAGGGCGACCGGCCACACUGGGACUGAGACACGGCCCAGACUCCUACGGGAGGCAGCAGUGGGGAAUAUUGCACAAUGGGGGAAACCCUGAUGCAGCGACGCAGCGUGCGGGAUGACGGCCUUCGGGUUGUAAACCGCUUUCAGCAGGGAAGAAGCCCUUCGGGGUGACGGU
rnacentral:rRNA from 1 species